AAAACAAAGAGUUUGAUCGUGGCUCAGGACGAACGCUGGCGGCGUGCUUAACACAUGCAAGUCGAACGAUGAACCUCCUUCGGGAGGGGAUUAGUGGCGAACGGGUGAGUAACACGUGGGCAAUCUGCCCUGCACUCUGGGACAAGCCCUGGAAACGGGGUCUAAUACCGGAUAACACUGCGGAUCGCAUGGUCUGCGGUUGAAAGCUCCGGCGGUGCAGGAUGAGCCCGCGGCCUAUCAGCUUGUUGGUGGGGUGAUGGCCGUACCAAGGCGACGAUGUAUAGCUGGUCUGAGAGGGAUGAUCAGCCACACUGGGACUGAGACACGGCCCAGACUCCUACGGGAGGCAGCAGCCGCAGUAAC
rnacentral:rRNA from 1 species